rnacentral:rRNA from 1 species
UACAGAGGGGGCAAGCGUUAUUCGGAAUUAUUGGGCGUAAAGGGCGCGUAGGCGGUCGUGCAAGUGUAUGGUGAAAUCCCCGGGCUUAACCUGGGAACUGCCGUCCAAACUGCUUGGCUUGAGUCCGGGAGAGGUGAGUGGAAUUCCCAGUGUAGCGGUGAAAUGCGUAGAUAUUGGGAGGAACACCAGUGGCGAAGGCGGCUCACUGGACCGGAACUGACGCUGAGGCGCGAAAGCGUGGGGAGCAAACAGG